UACAGAGGUGGCAAGCGUUGUUCGGAAUUACUGGGCGUAAAGGGCGCGUAGGCGGUUCGAUAAGUCCCGUGUGAAAUCCCUCGGCUCAACUGAGGAACUGCACGGGAAACUGACGGGCUUGAGUUCGGGAGAGGGAAGCGGAAUUCCGGGUGUAGCGGGUGAAAAUGCGUAGAUAUCCGGAGGAACACCUGUGGCGAAGGCGGCUUCCUGGACCGACACUGACGCUGAG
rnacentral:rRNA from 1 species